rnacentral:misc_RNA from 1 species
AAGUCGUAACAAGGUCUCCGUUGGUGAACCAGCGGAGGGAUCAUUAGCGAGUUACUGGAAAACUCCAAACCCCUGUGAAUAUACCUAUUGUUGCCUCGGCAGGCUGUGCUGUCUGGUAGCUCCUACCCUGUAGUUACCCUGUAGCUGGUGGCUGCUACCCCGCAGCACGUUGUAAGGCCUGCCGGAGGACCUCUAAACUCUGAAUAUUACUGUAUGUCUGAGUCUAUUUGAGAAAUUGAGUUAAAACUUUCAACAACGGAUCUCUUGGUUCUG